GUUUGAUCCUGGCUCAGAGCGAACGUUAGCGGCAGGCUUAACACAUGCAAGUCGAGCGAGAAAGGGGUUUCGGCCCCAAGUAAAGCGGCGGACGGGUGCGUAACACGUGGAUAAUCUGCCUCGUGGCGGGGGAUAACAGCCCGAAAGGACUGCUAAUACCGCAUGUCACGAUGAAGGUUUCGGCCUUCAUCGAAAAAGAGGGCGCCGCAAGGGCUCUCACCACGAGAUGAGUCCGCGUCCCAUCAGCUAGUUGGCGGUGUAAUGGACCACCAAGGCUUAGACGGGUAGCUGGUCUGAGAGGAUGGCCAGCCACACUGGGACUGAGACACGGCCCAGACUCCUACGGGAGGCAGCAGUGGGGGAAUAUUGGACAAUGGGCGAAAGCCUGAUCCAGCCAUGCCGCGUGAGUGAUGAAGGUCUUCGGAUCGUAAAGCUCUGUGGGAAGGGACGAAAAAGCGUGACCUAAUACGUCUCGCCUUGACGGUACCUUCUUAGCAAGCACCGGCUAACUCCGUGCCA
rnacentral:rRNA from 1 species